GUCUCCUCUUUCGCCUCCUGCACCUUGAGAGCCCUGGGCUACUCUGUCACAGCCCCUGUUGCCCUGCGAUCUGUAGGUCCUUGGGGACGCAUAGUUAAGGUGCCAGGACAUCCUGGAAGCUGGGAAAUGACCAUGGCUGGAGAAGGAAAGAAGGUGUGUUUUGCCUGAUUCAGGGACUAUAGAGAGAACCAAGUUCUGCAGGCCUGUCAUCUAAGUCUCAGGGCGGGGAGACCUUCCUUCCCCACGGGUUUGAGGCUAUGGCUAAGUGGUGAGCCUUGGUGAGACGCAGAAAGGAUCCAUCCCAGGCACUUGGCUAGAGCCCCUGAACUUUGACUCACCCACAGCCUCAGAGAACCUACAACCCAUAUUUAUACAUAUCCCUCCUAAGAACAGGCUGACUUCAAGAUGAAACAUUAUCUUAUCUGGGAUCUGAUUUUGCUACCCUCCAUCCUGUGCUUCCUUUCCAACCUUCUUUGUAAACUUAUUUUCUCCUCCCUAUGAAAUAAAACCCUUUUCCACCUAA
rnacentral:lncRNA from 1 species